rfam:Ornithorhynchus anatinus chromosome 7, whole genome shotgun sequence.
CCCCUCUCAAGGUCACACCUGGAGAGUUUCCAGUACUCUACCAGUCUCAGGUAUGGGAGGGAGAGUCAAGCAGAGGCCUACCCAUUCCAUUCCUAGCUUGGCCAGUGGCUAGCAAGUGAGUGGAAGGCAAUCUGCUACAAGU